CUACGUGCCAGCAGCCGCGGUAAUACGGAAGGUCCAGGCGUUAUCCGGAUUUAUUGGGUUUAAAGGGAGUGUAGGCGGUUUGUUAAGCGUGUUGUGAAAUUUAGGUGCUCAACAUUUAACUUGCAGCGCGAACUGUCAGACUUGAGUACACGCAACGUAUGCGGAAUUCAUGGUGUAGCGGUGAAAUGCUUAGAUAUCAUGAAGAACUCCGAUUGCGAAGGCAGCAUACGGGAGUGUAACUGACGCUUAAGCUCGAAGGUGCGGGUAUCGAACAGGAUUAGAUACCCCGGUAGUCCGCACAGUAAACGAUGGAUGCCCGCUGUUGGUACCUGGUAUCAGCGGCUAAGCGAAAGCAUUAAGCAUCCCACCUGGGGAGUACGCCGGCAACGGUGAAACUCAAAGGAAUUGACGGGGGCCCGCACAAGCGGAGGAACAUGUGGUUUAAUUCGAUGAUACGCGAGGAACCUUACCCGGGCU
rnacentral:rRNA from 1 species